UGGGGAAUAUUGCGCAAUGGGGGCAACCCUGACGCAGCCAUGCCGCGUGAAUGAAGAAGGCCUUCGGGUUGUAAAGUUCUUUCGGUAGCGAGGAAGGCAUUUAGUUUAAUAAACUAGGUGAUUGACGUUAACUACAGAAGAAGCACCGGCUAACUCCGUGCCAGCAGCCGCGGUAAUACGGAGGGUGCGAGCGUUAAUCGGAAUAACUGGGCGUAAAGGGCACGCAGGCGGUGACUUAAGUGAGGUGUGAAAGCCCCGGGCUUAACCUGGGAAUUGCAUUUCAUACUGGGUCGCUAGAGUGCUUUAGGGAGGAGUAGGAUUCCACGUGUAGCGGUGAAAUGCGUAGAGAUGUGGAGGAAUACCGAAGGCGAAGGCAGCCCCUAGGGAAUAUACUGACGCUCA
rnacentral:rRNA from 1 species